rnacentral:rRNA from 1 species
AACGCUAGCUACAGGCUUAACACAUGCAAGUCGAGGGGCAGCAUGAUUGAAGCUUGCUUCAAUUGAUGGCGACCGGCGCACGGGUGCGUAACGCGUAUCCAAUCUACCCAUGGCUCAGGGAUAGCCCAUCGAAAGAUGGAUUAAUACCUGAUGGUUUCACCGUAUCGCAUGUUGUGGUGAAUAAAGAUUUAUCGGCGAUGGAUGGGGAUGCGACUGAUUAGGUAGUAGGCGGGGUAACGGCCCACCUAGCCGACGAUCAGUAGGGGUUCUGAGAGGAAGGUCCCCCACACUGGAACUGAGACACGGUCCAGACUCCUACGGGAGGCAGCAGUGAGGAAUAUUGGUCAAUGGGCGCGAGCCUGAACCAGCCAAGUAGCGUGAGGGAUGACUGCCCUAUGGGUUGUAAACCUCUUUUGUUUGGGAAUAAAGUCAGGGACGCGUCCCUGUUUGUAUGUACCUUUCGAAUAAGCAUCGGCUAAUUCCGUGCCAGCAGCCGCGGUAAUACGGAAGAUGCGAGCGUUAUCCGGAUUUAUUGGGUUUAAAGGGAGCGUAGGCGGACUGUUAGGUCUGUGCUCAAAUGUCAGGGCCCAACCUUGGCAUGCCAUGGAAACCGGCGGUCUUGAAUACACGCAAGGCAGAUGGAAUU